AGCUUUGUGCAGUAGCAGUAUUGUAGCCAAUGAGGUUUAUCCGAGGCACGAUUAUUGCUAAUUGGGAUAGUCCCGCACAAAGCCCAUGGCCAGAGAGGGUGGUUGAACAAUUAGAUCUUAUGACUUGAGGUAUUUGAACCUGAGAAACAGAGAAAAAGUUAAGUACUCUGAAGCCAGA
ensembl:snRNA U4 U4 spliceosomal RNA